rnacentral:sRNA from 1 species
UACCAUGAAUCACUCAAAAUUGGCUGC